AGGUCUUUGCCUUUCAGAACGAAUGAAUGGGCAGCAGCUGGUACCGAGCAGCCAUGUCACAGCCCUGGUCUUGGUUACUGAUAAAGCAAACAAGGGAACAGAGAUUAGAAUAAGGCUAAAUCGUGAUCACUUGCAUCUUUCUAUCGUGUGGGGUUAGUUCUAGUGGGGAGCAUGACCUGAUGGAUAAGAACUGUUCUUAGUGAGCAUUGGCUGGCAAGUUGCAAUUAGUGCCUUGCAGCUGCCCCCAGGUGAGAUCCUGGCAAUAAUUAGGCAGGAUGAAAUGUUAGGAGGCCAGGGAAGCACUGAAGAAGAAGCAGGUGGAAGGUAAUGAGCUUUGGUCAUGGUGAGGGGGCUGGCAUCUGGUUAACUGAGGUGGUGUUAUGACUUUGCUCCCACAUUGUGCCAGGGUGAUGAGGUGACAAGGAUGAACUCCUGCUGAUGGUAGCUGGUCUUGCUGUUCUCCAGCUUUGGAUGUGCUGAUGGUUGGUUUUCAUGGCAAGAUGGGUAGAGCCUGGAGGAGGUGCUGGUGUGACCCCCAGCCUGCUGACCACACCAGCCCUGUGCACACAGAUGGGCAAUGCCAUCUCAGUGUGGAGAGGUUCCUUUCAUUGUCCUUCCCAUUUCGAUCUGAACAUUGAGGAGGUGAUACCUCUGCAGAGAAUGGAGAAUAAUCCUUGGGCAUUUCUGGAGAAAGAGGUAGUGUGAGCAGGGGUAGGCAGGCAAAGAGCCCUGGGAACAUGGCUUGGCACUACACCUGGAAGGGUUAGAGGUGACACUGCUCAAUGGCACCAUCCUAACUAGCAGCAAUUGCCCAGGGUUCCUCUCCCAUAUGUGUUCCCUGGCCAUAGACCAUCCCCAUACAAGCCAUCAUCACCAGGCAAAUCAGCUUCAAAAGCCAAAAGGUUUACGUUCUGUCCCUGCACCUUCUGUGAUUAAAAGAAGAAUCUGGAUGAGGAGAAGAAAUCUGCACAGAGGAAAUUCAGACACACAGACCUGAUAUGGGAUGACGUGGAGAGUUGCCACCAUUCAAGUGUGUGCUGCUCCUGUGACUCCAUUACCAGCAACCUUGGUGGGAACUGGACCUGCAAGCUGUGAGUUAUUAAGCUGAUCCAAGUCUGCUGACCUUCCUCUGUGUUCUGAUUUUCCACUAAAGUCACAGACUGGACAGCCCACAUCAGAUAAAGAAAAGAAAAAAGCAGGAAACAAAAAGUAAAAGACAUCAUUCUUUGCUCCUUGAUCACCCAGACAAAAUACCGACCCCUACAAGAGAGUCAUGUUGGGGGAUUUCAGCAAUGCCUCAUCACAGGAUGUGCAGCUCUGUGAGCUAUUGGUUCUGAUGAAUACU